CUACGGGUCGCUGCAGCGAGGAAUAUUGCACAAUGGGGGGAACCCUGAUGCAGCAACGCCGCGUGGAGGAUGACGCAUUUCGGUGUGUAAACUCCUUUUAUAUGUCAAGAAAAUGACGGUAGCAUAUGAAUAAGCACCGGCUAACUCCGUGCCAGCAGCCGCGGUAAUACGGAGGGUGCAAGCGUUACUCGGAAUCACUGGGCGUAAAGGACGCGUAGGCGGGUUGGAAAGUCAGGUGUGAAAUCCUACAGCUUAACUGUAGAACUGCACUUGAAACUUCUAAUCUAGAGUAUGGGAGGGGGAGAUGGAAUUAGUGGUGUAGGGGUAAAAUCCGUAGAUAUCACUAGGAAUACCUAAAGCGAAGGCGAUCUCCUGGAACAUUACUGACGCUAAGGCGUGAAAGCGUGGGGAGCAAACAGGAUAGAUACCCCAGUAGUC
rnacentral:rRNA from 1 species